rnacentral:rRNA from 1 species
AUUGAACGCUGGCGGCAUGCCUAACACAUGCAAGUCGAACGGCAGCGCGGGGGCAACCCUGGCGGCGAGUGGCGGACGGGUGAGGAAUACAUCGGAAUCUACCUUCUGGUGGGGGAUAACCAGCCGAAAGGCUGGCUAAUACCGCAUAAGACCGAGAGGUGAAAGCGGGGGACCGAAAGGCCUCGCGCGAGAAGAUGAGCCGAUGUCCGAUUAGCUAGUUGGCGGGGUAAGAGCCCACCAAGGCGACGAUCGGUAGCUGGUCUGAGAGGAUGAUCAGCCACACUGGGACUGAGACACGGCCCAGACUCCUACGGGAGGCAGCAGUGGGGAAUAUUGGACAAUGGGCGCAAGCCUGAUCCAGCAAUGCCGCGUGUGUGAAGAAGGCCUCGGUUGUAAGCACUUUAUCGGAGCGAAAGACGGCCGGCGUAAUAACCGGUACGUGCUGACGGUACCCGACGGAA